AAUAGAUACCCCGGUAGUCCACGCCCUAAACGAUGCUCACUAGGUGUUGGGGAAGCGAUUCCUUGGUACCGUAGCUAACGCGUGAAGUGAGCCGCCUGGGGAGUACGGCCGCAAGGUUAAAACUCAAAGGAAUUGACGGGGACCCGCACAAGCGGUGGAUGAUGUGGAUUAAUUCGAUGCAACGCGAACAACCUUACCUACCCUUGACAUGUCCGGAAGCCUGCUGAAAGGUGGGUGUGCUCGAAAGAGAACCGGAACACAGGUGCUGCAUGGCUGUCGUCAGCUCGUGUCGUGAGAUGUUGGGUUAAGUCCCGCAACGAGCGCAACCCUUGUCCCUAGUUGCUACGCAAGGGCACUCUAGGGAGACUGCCGGUGACAAACCGGAGGAAGGUGGGGAUGACGUCAAGUCCUCAUGGCCCUUAUGGGUAGGGCUUCACACGUCAUACAAUGGACGGUACAGAGGGUUGCCAACCCGCGAGGGGGAGCCAAUCCCAGAAAGCCGUUCGUAGUCCGGAUCGCAGUCUGCAACUCGACUGCGUGAAGUCGG
rnacentral:rRNA from 1 species